UACGUAGGGUGCAAGCGUUGUCCGGAAUUAUUGGGCGUAAAGAGCGUGUAGGCGGCUCGAUUAGUCCGCUGUGAAAGUCCAGGGCUCAACCCUGGAAUGCCGGUGGAUACUGUCGAGCUAGAGUCCGGAAGGGGCGAGUGGAAUUCCUGGUGUAGCGGUGAAAUGCGUAGAUAUCUGGAAGAAUACCGGUGGCGAAGGCGGUCAACUGGCCCUCAACUGACGCUGAGGCACGAAAGCGUGGGAGCAAACAGG
rnacentral:rRNA from 1 species